AGCGAACGCUGGCGGCAGGCCUAAUACAUGCAAGUCGAGCGCACCUUCGGGUGAGCGGCGGACGGGUGAGUAACGCGUGGGAACGUGCCCUUUGGUACGGGAUAACUGAGGGAAACUUCAGCUAAUACCGUAUGUGCCCUACGGGGGAAAGAUUUAUCGCCAUUGGAGCGGCCCGCGUUGGAUUAGGUAGUUGGUGAGGUAAAGGGUCACCAAGCCUACGAUCCAUAGCUGGUCUGAGAGGAUGAUCAGCCAAACUGGGACUGAGACACGGCCCAGAGUCCUACGGGAGGCAGCAGUAGGGAAUCUUGCGCAAUGGGCGAAAGCAUGACGCAGCCAUGCCGCGUGAAUGAUGAAGGUCUUAGGAUUGUAAAAUUCUUUCACCGGGGAAAAUAAUGACGGUACCCGGAGAAGAAGCCCCGGCUAACUUCGUGCCAGCAGCCGCCGUAACAC
rnacentral:rRNA from 1 species